UUAAAAGAGGGACGAAAGAUACCAAAGGGACAGUCAAACUCAUAAAUCUAAAACAAACUGACAACGCCAUGGCUGAAAAUGAAAAAGACAAACAAACAACAGCACACACGACACAACAUAGAAAACUAAAGAAUAAACAACACGAACCCCACCAAAAACUAGGGGUGAUCUCAGGUGCUCCGGAAGGGUAAGCAGAUACUGCUCCACAUUCGGCACCCGUCGUGUUGCUUAUGUGAUAACAAAUCCGGUAAAUAGUCUAAUUCGGUAGGUCACAUUCAUGAAAG
rnacentral:lncRNA from 1 species